rnacentral:misc_RNA from 1 species
AGUUAAACAAUGCUCCUCACCAAUCUCAGGAGUCCAAUUCUUCUCAAACCCAUUUCUAUUCCUCUCGCAUUUCUCUCCACUUACGACCUACCACAGCCCCAACCACUACACCAAGACCAAGACCAAGAACAACCCAUCUACAUUACCAACAGUUCUUUCUGGACCAGAAAGAUCCACAAUCUCUGCACCCAAUGCCGCCAAGUCGAUGAAGCUCUUGCCCUUCUUGACCAUCUCCGCCUCCGCGGCUACCGCCCUGAUUCCCUCAAUCUCAGCAGCAUUAUUCAUGCGCUUUGUGACGCCAACCGCUUCGACGAAGCCCACCACCGCUUUGUCCUAUUCAUUUCUUCUCACUGCGUCCCUGAUGAGCGGACUUGUAAUGUACUCAUUGCUCGAUUGCUUGAUUCUCAAUCCCCACAUUUAACGUUGCAUGCCUUGCAUCGUUUGUUUGAUGUUAAACCAGAGUUUGUGCCUUCUGUUAUUAAUUACAACCGUUUAAUUUAUCAGUAUUGCGAGGUUUCGCUUCCGAAUGUAGCGCAUAGGUUGUUGUUUGAUAUGAUCAGUAGAGGGCAUUCCUCAAAUAUCGUUACUUAUACCACUUUGAUUGGUGGGUAUUGUCGAGUCAGUGCAGUGGAUGCUGCAUAUAUGAUGUUUGAUGAAAUGCGUGAGCAUGGGGUUGUACCUAAUUCGCUCACUUAUAGCGUUUUGAUUCGUGGGGUUUUGAGGAAGCGGGAUGUUGAACAUGGGAAGGAGUUGAUGUGCGAUCUUUGGGAGACAAUGAAGGAUGAAGAGGAUCACUCAGUCAAUAGUGCUGCUUUUUCAAAUAUCAUUGAUUCUUUAUGCAGAGAAGGGUUUUUUAAUGAGGUUUUUAAGAUUGCAGAAGAUAUGCCUCAAGGGAAGAGUGUGAACGAGGAGUUUGCUUAUGGGCAUAUGAUUGAUUCUCUUGUUAGAGCUGGAAGAAACCAUGGUGCUUCAAGAAUUGUUUAUAUAAUGAGAAAGAGAGGGUUUACUCCGAGCUUAGUGUCAUAUAAUUCUAUUAUACAUGGGCUUUGCAAGGAGAGAGGUUGCAUGAGGGCUUAUCAGUUGUUUGAAGAAGGGACUGAAUUUGGUUACUUGCCAUCCGAGUAUACUUAUAGGGCUCUAGUGGAAGCUCUAUGCCAAGAAAUGGAUCUCUGCAAGGCAAGGAAAGUUUUAGAGUCAAUGUUGAAGAAGGAAGGAGGGGAUAGAACUAGAAUUUACAAUAUAUAUUUGAGAGCACUUUGUCUGCUCAAUAGUGCUACUGAGCUUUUAAAUGUGCUUGUUUCUAUGCUACAAACUGAGUGUCAGCCUGAUGUGAUUACUCUCAACAUAGUUAUUAAUGGGUUUUGCAAGAUGGGAAGGAUUGAUGAAGCUUUAAAAAUGCUAAAUGAUAUGACGACUGGAAAAUUUUGUGCCCCUGAUGCUGUGACCUUCACUACCAUCAUAGGUGGUUUGUUAAAUGUUGGAAGAACUCAAGAAGCUCUCAAUCUAUUUCAUCAAGUAAUGCCCGAAAAUGGCAUUAGUCCUGGUGUUGUAACGUAUAAUGCUGUUCUUCGUGGUUUGUUUAAACUUCAGUUAGCAGAUGAGGCAAUGAGGGUUUUUUGUAGAAUGUUAGCUGAUGGUGUGGCUGCCAACAGUAACACAUACUCUAUAAUAAUCGAUGGAUUAUGCAGUUCUGACCAAAUCGAUGAGGCUAAGAAAUUCUGGGAUAAUGUCAUUUGGCCCUCAAAAAUUCAUGAUCAUUUUGUUUAUGCUUCUAUUCUCAAAGGGCUUUGUCGCUUGGGCAAUUUAAAUGAAGCUUGCCAUUUCCUCUAUGAACUGGUAGAUUCUGGGGUUAGUCCAAAUAUUUUUAGUUACAAUAUUUUGAUUGAUUGUGCUUGCAGGUUAGGUAUGAAAAGAGAAGCUUAUCAAAUUGUAAAAGAAAUGCAAAAGAAUGGUCUGGCCCCUGAUGCUGUAACUUGGAGGAUUCUUGACAAGUUACAUGGCAUUGUGAAGAGAUGAUAUAGUGCGAGGAUUAAACUUGGCAGUUCUCACGAGGAGGCUUAUGAGAGAUGGAAGGGAUUGAAAAUUCAUAUUCACGAAGCAAUGUGAACAGGGCAGUUCCUGUCUGGAAUUAUAUACCAGAAGAAUGGAUAUCUGGCUUCCUCACAUCACGUAAAGGAAUGAGAAGCCUCAUAUUCAACCAAGCUGAGUUUAAGGUUGCAUUUGAAAAGUGCUUUAGUGAUGAUGCUUGGGAAAAGGUUUCAUGCAGCAGUAGGCAAAGAGAGGUGUUGCAGAGAAAUGUUAUGCUGGCAGAGAAAUUCUUAUGAAGAGAAACUUUUUGUUUAUUGGAGGGUAAAAUAACAAAUGUUAAGGGGAAGAUCUUGCAUAAUUAAAGUGGCAGUAAAACUGUAAACAGGAAGUCUUUCUGAACUGAUGGUCACUUGAGUGGAUGCUGUCAGUCUCAGCUGGGAAAUAAAAUCCCAAAUAUGUAUAUAUGAAUGCGAUUUAGGAGGCAAUGAAUUGCUUGUUUCAUCAAUUCAGCUCAACAAGUAACGGCGGUCUCUGUAAUUUCACUUUCGGAUGAAUUGUUUCAGUCAUCCCACAGAAACCAUUUGGCAUUUGGUUAGUUCUUUCUUUCUUAUUUUAUUUUUUUAAGACAACCUUUGAAUUUUCUUUGUCAAUCAGAAAGAUGGACAAGCUUAGUUUAAAGGAUGAAUUAAAAGGCCCUUCAAUUCUG